UGCAAGUCGAACGAUGAUCCCAGCUUGCUGGGGGAUUAGUGGCGAACGGGUGAGUAACACGUGAGUAACCUGCCCUUGACUCUGGGAUAAGCCUGGGAAACUGGGUCUAAUACCGGAUACGACCAUCUGGCGCAUGUCAUGGUGGUGGAAAGCUUUUGUGGUUUUGGAUGGACUCGCGGCCUAUCAGCUUGUUGGUGGGGUAAUGGCCUACCAAGGCGACGACGGGUAGCCGGCCUGAGAGGGUGACCGGCCACACUGGGACUGAGACACGGCCCAGACUCCUACGGGAGGCAGCAGUGGGGAAUAUUGCACAAUGGGCGAAAGCCUGAUGCAGCGACGCCGCGUGAGGGAUGACGGCCUUCGGGUUGUAAACCUCUUUCAGUAGGGAAGAAGCGAAAGUGACGGUACCUGCAGAAGAAGCGCCGGCUAACUACGUGCCAGCAGCCGCGGUAAUACGUAGGGCGCAAGCGUUAUCCGGAAUUAUUGGGCGUAAAGAGCUCGUAGGCGGUUUGUCGCGUCUGCUGUGAAAGACCGGGGCUCAACUCCGGUUCUGCAGUGGGUACGGGCAGACUAGAGUGCAGUAGGGGAGACUGGAAUUCCUGGUGUAGCGGUGAAAUGCGCAGAUAUCAGGAGGAACACCGAUGGCGAAGGCAGGUCUCUGGGCUGUAACUGACGCUGAGGAGCGAAAGCAUGGGGAGCGAACAGGAUUAGAUACCCUGGUAGUCCAUGCCGUAAACGUUGGGCACUAGGUGUGGGGGACAUUCCACGUUUUCCGCGCCG
rnacentral:rRNA from 1 species